UACAGAGGGGGCAAGCGUUGUUCGGAAUUACUGGGCGUAAAGGGCGCGUAGGCGGCCUUCUAAGUCAGACGUGAAAUCCCCGGGCUCAACCCGGGAACUGCGUCUGAUACUGGAAGGCUUGAAUCCGGGAGAGGGAUGUGGAAUUCCAGGUGUAGCGGUGAAAUGCGUAGAUAUCAGGAGGAACACCGGUGGCGAAGGCGGAUCUCUGGGCCUUACCUGACGCUGAGGCGCGAAAGCUAGGGGAGCGAACAGG
rnacentral:rRNA from 1 species